CCGCGGCAAGACGGAAAGACCCCGUGAACCUUUACUAUAGCUUGACACUGAACAUUGAGCCUUGAUGUGUAGGAUAGGUGGGAGGCUUUGAAGCGUGGACGCCAGUCUGCGUGGAGCCAACCUUGAAAUACCACCCUUUAAUGUUUGAUGUUCUAACGUGGACCCGUAAUCCGGGUUGCGGACAGUGUCUGGUGGGUAGUUUGACUGGGGCGGUCUCCUCCUAAAGAGUAACGGAGGAGCACGAAGGUUGGCUAAUCCUGGUCGGACAUCAGGAGGUUAGUGCAAUGGCAUAAGCCAGCUUGACUGCGAGCGUGACGGCGCGAGCAGGUGCGAAAGCAGGUCAUAGUGAUCCGGUGGUUCUGAAUGGAAGGGCCAUCGCUCAACGGAUAAAAGGUACUCCGGGGAUAACAGGCUGAUACCGCCCAAGAGUUCAUAUCGACGGCGGUGUUUGGCACCUCGAUGUCGGCUCAUCACAUCCUGGGGCUGAAGUAGGUCCCAAGGGUAUGGCUGUUCGCCAUUUAAAGUGGUACGCGAGCUGGGUUUAGAACGUCGUGAGACAGUUCGGUCCCUAUCUGCCGUGGGCGCUGGAGAACUGAGGGGGGCUGCUCCUAGUACGAGAGGACCGGAGUGGACGCAUCACUGGUGUUCGGGUUGUCAUGCCAAUGGCACUGCCCGGUAGCUAAAUGCGGAAGAGAUAAGUGCUGAAAGCAUCUAAGCACGAAACUUGCCCCGA
rnacentral:rRNA from 1 species